rnacentral:rRNA from 1 species
UACGUAGGGGGCAAGCGUUGUCCGGAUUUAUUGGGCGUAAAGAGCGUGUAGGCGGCUGGGUAGGUCCGUUGUGAAAACUCGAGGCUCAACCUCGAGACGCCGAUGGAAACCCUCCAGCUAGAGUCCGGAAGAGGAGAGUGGAAUUCCUGGUGUAGCGGUGAAAUGCGCAGAUAUCAGGAAGAACACCCGUGGCUAAGGCGGCUCUCUAGUACGGUACUGACGCUGAGACGCGAAAGCAUGGGGAGCGAACAGG